GACGAACGCUGGCGGCGUGCUUAGCACAUGCAAGUCGAACGGAAAGGCCCUGCUUUUGUGGGGUGCUCGAGUGGCGAACGGGUGAGUAACACGUGAUUAACCUUCCCUUGACUUUGGGAUAACUUCAGGAAACUGGGGCUAAUACCGGAUAGUAGCUCCUGCUGCAUGGUGGGGGUUGGAAAGUUUCGGCGGUUGGGGAUGGACUCGCGGCUUAUCAGCUUGUUGGUGGGGUAGUGGCUUACCAAGGCUUUGACGGGUAGCCGGCCUGAGAGGGUGACCGGCCACAUUGGGACUGAGAUACGGCCAAGACUCCUACGGGAGGAAGCAGUGGGGAAUAUUGCACAAUGGGCGGAAGCCUGAUGCAGCAACGCCGCGUGCGGGAUGACGGCCGUCGGGUUGUAAACCGCUUUCGCCUGUGACGAAGCGUGAGUGACGGUAAUGGGUAAAGAAGCACCGGCUAACUACGUG
rnacentral:rRNA from 1 species